rnacentral:rRNA from 1 species
UACGUAGGGGGCAAGCGUUGUCCGGAAUCAUUGGGCGUAAAGAGCGUGUAGGUGGACUGGAAGGUCUGGUGUGAAAGCCCGGGGCUCAACCCCGGAGGGUCACUGGAAACCAACAGUCUUGAGUCUGGAAGAGGAGAGUGGAAUUCCUGGUGUAGCGGUGGAAUGCGCAGAUAUCAGGAGGAACACCGGUGGCGAAGGCGGGUCUCUGGGCAGUAACUGACGCUGAGGAGCGAAAGCGUGGGGAGCGAACAGG